UCGAGGGGCAGCAUGAUUUGUAGCAAUACAGAUUGAUGGCGACCGGCGCACGGGUGAGUAACGCGUAUGCAACUUACCUAUCAGAGGGGGAUAGCCCGGCGAAAGUCGGAUUAAUACCCCAUAAAACAGGGGUCCCGCAUGGGAAUAUUUGUUAAAGAUUCAUCGCUGAUAGAUAGGCAUGCGUUCCAUUAGGCAGUUGGCGGGGUAACGGCCCACCAAACCGACGAUGGAUAGGGGUUCUGAGAGGAAGGUCCCCCACAUUGGUACUGAGACACGGACCAAACUCCUACGGGAGGCAGCAGUGAGGAAUAUUGGUCAAUGGCCGAGAGGCUGAACCAGCCAAGUCGCGUGAAGGAAGAAGGAUCUAUGGUUUGUAAACUUCUUUUAUAGGGGAAUAAAGUGGAGGACGUGUCCUUUUUUGUAUGUACCCUAUGAAUAAGCAUCGGCUAACUCCGUGCCAGCAGCCGCGGUAAUACGGAGGAUGCGAGCGUUAUCCGGAUUUAUUGGGUUUAAAGGGUGCGUAGGUGGUGAUUUAAGUCAGCGGUGAAAGUUUGUGGCUCAACCAUAAAAUUGCCGUUGAAACUGGGUUACUUGAGUGUGUUUGAGGUAGGCGGAAUGCGUGGUGUAGCGGUGAAAUGCAUAGAUAUCACGCAGAACUCCGAUUGCGAAGGCAGCUUACUAAACCAUAACU
rnacentral:rRNA from 1 species